rfam:Schistosoma rodhaini strain Burundi genome assembly, scaffold: SROB_scaffold0001108
AUCCAGAUGACGAGUCUCAAAUAAGACGAAGUGACACAAGUCCUGGAU